rfam:Pseudomonas denitrificans ATCC 13867, complete genome.
GGGGCCGAUUAGGAUUCGACGCCGGUAACAAAACUCGAGGGGCAUGCCGAGUAGGUGACAGUUCUCGUAAAUCAGCUGCCACAACUUUAUAGUUGCCAACGACGACAACUACGCCCUAGCAGCCUAAGUGCCGCUAGCAGACCCUAGGGGAUGCCUGUAAACCCGACGAUUAGGUCUGUCAUAUAGAACAGGAUCGCCGCCAAGUUCGCUGUAGACGUAACGGCUAAAACUCAUACAGCUCGCUCCAAGCACCCUGCCACUCGGGCGGCGCGGAGUUAACUCAGUAGAGAUGGCUAAGCAUGUAGAACCGACAGCGGAGAACUGGCGGACGGGGGUUCAAAUCCCCCCGGCUCCACCA